CUUUAAACCUAGGAAGAAGAGAGUGGCAUAGAGUUUGAGACAAUUUGUUUUUUACAGGAUGGAAGUCCGAUGCCAGAGAGUUGUAGGUUAUGGAUUUGUAUCUAUAACCUGUGAUGUGAAGACAGCCUUCCAGGGAAGGGGCAGAGCCAGAGGGGAAAGAACAAGCUAGACAUUCCGGCCAGCAAAAAAGGCCAAUGACAGCGUGAUGGAGAAGAGGAACCGUGAGCUGCAUGAACUGCAGCAAGCGAAGCACAAAUGAGCCAUCGGUGUGGGUGAUG
rnacentral:lncRNA from 1 species